rnacentral:rRNA from 1 species
CCUACGGGAGGCAGCAGUAAGGAAUAUUGGUCAAUGGACGCAAGUCUGAACCAGCCAUGCCGCGUGGAGGAUGAAGGUCCUCUGGAUUGUAAACUUCUUUUAUUUGGGAAGAAACCCACCUUUUCUUGGGUGGUUGACGGUACCAGAUGAAUAAGCACCGGCUAACUCCGUGCCAGCAGCCGCGGUAAUACGGAGGGUGCAAGCGUUAUCCGGAUUCACUGGGUUUAAAGGGUGCGUAGGUGGGCAAGUAAGUCAGUGGUGAAAUCUCCGGGCUUAACCCGGAAACUGCCAUUGAUACUAUUUGUCUUGAAUACUGUGGAGGCCAGCGGAAUAUGUCAUGUAGCGGUGAAAUGCUUAGGUAUGACAUAGAACACCAAUUGCGAAGGCAGCUGGCUACACAAAUAUUGACACUGAGGCACGAAAGCGUGGGGAUCAAACAGGAUUAGAUACCCUGGUAGUCCACGCCCUAAACUAUGGAUACUCGACAUUUGCGAUAAACUGCAAGUGUCUGAGCGAAAGCAUUAAGUAUCCCACCUGGGAAGUACGAUCGCAAGAUUGAAACUCAAAGGAAUUGACGGA